rnacentral:rRNA from 1 species
AGGUUUGAUCAUGGCUCAGGAUGAACGCUAGCGGCAGGCUUAACACAUGCAAGUCGAGGGGCAGCGGGUAGAGUAGCAAUACACUAUGCCGGCGACCGGCGGAAGGGUGCGUAACGCGUGAGCGACAUGCCCGUUUCAGGGAGAUAAUCGAUGGAAACGUCGUCUAAUAUCCCAUAACAACAGAGGUUGCAUGACCUUUGUUUGAAAGCUACGGCGGAGACGGAUUGGCUCGCGUGACAUUAGUUAGUUGGCGGGGUAACGGCCCACCAAGACGACGAUGUCUAGGGGUUCUGAGAGGAAGGUCCCCCACAUUGGAACUGAGACACGGUCCAAACUCCUACGGGAGGCAGCAGUGAGGAAUAUUGGUCAAUGGUCGGAAGACUGAACCAGCCAUGCCGCGUGAAGGAUUACAGCCCUAUGGGUUUUAAACUUCUUUUGACGCAGAGCAAUAAGGUCCACGUGUGGAUUGAUGAGAGUAUGCGUCGAAUAAGCAUCGGCUAACUCCGUGCCAGCAGCCGCGGUAAUACGGAGGAUGCAAGCGUUAUCCGGAUUUAUUGGGUUUAAAGGGUGCGUAGGCGGUAUGGCAAGUCAGCGGUGAAAUGUCCUCGCUUAACGAGGAACGUGCCGUUGAUACUGUUGUACUUGAAUUCGGAUGCCGUGGGAGGAAUGUGUAGUGUAGCGGUGAAAUGCAUAGAUAUUACACAGAACACCGAUUGCGAAGGCAUCUCACGAAUCCGAGAUUGACGCUGAGGCACGAAAGUGUGGGGAUCAAACAGGAUUAGAUACCCUGGUAGUCCACACUGUAAACGAUGAUAACUAACCGUUGGCGAUAUACUGUCAGUGGCUAAGCGAAAGCGAUAAGUUAUCCACCUGGGGAGUACGUUCGCAAGAAUGAAACUCAAAGGAAUUGACGGGGGCCCGCACAAGC